rnacentral:rRNA from 1 species
AAGCCAGUCGAAGAUACCAGCUGGCUGCAACUGUUUAUUAAAAACACAGCACUGUGCAAACACGAAAGUGGACGUAUACGGUGUGACGCCUGCCCGGUGCUGGAAGGUUAAUUGAUGGGGUUAGCGCAAGCGAAGCUCCUGAUCGAAGCCCCAGUAAACGGCGGCCGUAACUAUAACGGUCCUAAGGUAGCGAAAUUCCUUGUCGGGUAAGUUCCGACCUGCACGAAUGGCGUAAUGAUGGCCAGGCUGUCUCCACCCGAGACUCAGUGAAAUUGAACUCGCUGUGAAGAUGCAGUGUACCCGCGGCAAGACGGAAAGACCCCGUGAACCUUUACUAUAGCUUGACACUGAACAUUGAGCCUUGAUGUGUAGGAUAGGUGGGAGGCUUUGAAGUGUGGACGCCAGUCUGCAUGGAGCCAACCUUGAAAUACCACCCUUUAACGUUUGAUGUUCUAACCUAGGCCCAUAAACUGGGUCGGGGACCGUGUCUGGUGGGUAGUUUGACUGGGGCGGUCUCCUCCUAAAGAGUAACGGAGGAGCACGAAGGUUGGCUAAGCAUGGUCGGACAUCAUGCGGUUAGUGCAAAGGCAUAAGCCAGCUUGACUGCGAGAGUGACGGCUCGAGCAGGUACGAAAGUAGGUCUUAGUGAUCCGGUGGUUCUGAAUGGAAGGGCCAUCGCUCAACGGAUAAAAGGUACUCCGGGGAUAACAGGCUGAUACCGCCCAAGAGUUCAUAUCGACGGCGGUGUUUGGCACCUCGAUGUCGGCUCAUCACAUCCUGGGGCUGAAGUAGGUCCCAAGGGUAUGGCUGUUCGCCAUUUAAAGUGGUACGCGAGCUGGGUUUAGAACGUCGUGAGACAGUUCGGUCCCUAUCUGCCGUGGGCGUUGGAAGAUUGAGAGGGGUUGCUCCUAGUACGAGAGGACCGGAGUGAACGCACCACUGGUGUUCGGGUUGUCAUGCCAAUGGCAUUGCCCGGUAGCUAAGUGCGGAAGAGAUAACCGCUGAAAGCAUCUAAGCGGGAAACUUGCCUCGAGAUGAGUCUUCCCUGUCGCUUUAAGCGACCUAAAGGAACGUUUAAGACUAAGACGUUGAUAGGCUGGGUGUGUAAGCGUAGCGAUACGUUGAGCUAACCAGUACUAAUGAACCGUGAGGCUUAACCUG